rnacentral:rRNA from 1 species
UACGUAGGCGGCAAGCGUUGUCCGGAAUUACUGGGCGUAAAGCGCGUGUAGGCGGCCCUGCAAGUCGGAUGUGAAAUCCCACGGCUCAACCGUGGAAGUGCAUUCGAAACUGCAGGGCUAGAGUCCUGGAGAGGAAGGUGGAAUGCUUGGUGUAGAGGUGAAAUUCGUAGAUAUCAAGCGGAACACCGGUGGCGAAGGCGGCCUUCUGGACAGUGACUGACGCUGAGACGCGAAAGCGUGGGGAGCAAACAGG